UCAGAGACAAAAAAGAAAUUGGUUUGACGUUAGGUAUCGUGAUGUCAAAUCGUUUGAAAAUUAUUCCGUGUGACAGAGGAGAUACAAAUUCUUUAUGAAAAUGAUACGGGAAUAUUCUGUUGGGAGGACGUCAACUGUGAGAGAAAAACGAUCGUUAUAAUGAUCGAAAAACAUACACGCGGUUCAAAAAAAUUGAGUAAUUCACGAAGUACGAAUGCCUCCGUGGAACGAUAUAUACAAUUGAUUUUCAACAAUGAACGAAUUUUCUUACGAUCGUUUCGAUCCCGAUGAAGAAAUCAACGAUCUUUCGUCUUCCGAAGAUGACGCGGCGUCGUCGUACGAAUUUGAGAAAGUCCGCUGUUCGGAAAAUCGCAAUUCCGAUUCCAACUUAGGCUCGAGAUCCGAUUCGGAUAGGACGCUGAACCCGGUUGCCAAAAGUUCAAUGAAAAAAAUGGACCGACCCGCCCGUAAAAAGGCGGCGAAAAAGAGUCGAGCGUUUUUCAUACGGUCACCGACCGUUCUGAGGUCAACGAAAAUGAAUACCACCUACGAACUACCGAGGAAAAAUCAAGACUCGGCCGCUCAAUCGGCGAAAUAUUCUCACCGCGAAAACGAAAAUUGCGCCGGGCAAAAUUUCGACGAUUCGGAACAACGGCUUCAACUCGACGUCAAACUGACCUCGU